GGUUAUAGCUGUAUUGGUCUCUGCCUCUCGAUGUAGGACGGUGACCACGAGCGUCUACCGUCGCUGGUUUGGCCUGAGGGUGACACAAGGAGACACGAGGAAAUGAUGAGGAAUAAAUAAAGUCAUAAUGAGAUGAUUUUAGUUAAUAAAAGUAUAACUGUGGUACGUACUGUUCCACUCUUCGCUGGGGUGUCCUGUGAAGAAGAAGAAGAAGAGAAAACUGCUGUCAGUACACGGCAGGAUAAAAAAUGACUUAUGAGUACUUUUGGUGCUGUAGUAGUAAUAAUUGGAUUAGACCAGGGAUGUCAACGUAGCUUAAAGUUACAUUUCAAUAAGAUAUUUGGACCUGGGUUAAACCCUUUGCUAUGUUUCCACCAAAUGGAAAUAUUCUAGACAUUUAGUGAGUUAUAAUAUGUUCACAUUUCCUCAAUAUUCAUACACAUUUGGUAUCUUAUCAGUACACGGAAGGAUAAAAAAUUACUUAUUUAAAAGCUACAUUAUCCAAUGAGGUCACUUUAUAAUAUGUGU